GCAAUUAUACGGCGAAACUGCGAAUGGCUCAUUAAAUCAGUUAUCGUUUAUCUUGAUAGUACCUUACUACUUGGAUAACCGUGGUAAUUCUAGAGCUAAUACAUGCUUAAAAUCCCGACUCACGAAGGGAUGUAUUUAUUAGAUUAAAAACCAAUGCCCUUCGGGGCUCUUUGGUGAUUCAUAAUAACUUUUCGAAUCGCAUGGCCUUGCGCCGGCGAUGGUUCAUUCAAAUUUCUGCCCUAUCAACUUUCGAUGGCAGGGUCUUGGCCUGCCAUGGUGACAACGGGUAACGGAGGGUUAGGGCUCGACCCCGGAGAAGGAGCCUGAGAAACGGCUACUACAUCCAAGGAAGGCAGCAGGCGCGCAAAUUACCCAAUCCCGACUCGGGGAGGUAGUGACAAUAAAUACUGAUACAGGGCUCUUUUGGGUCUUGUAAUUGGAAUGAGUACAAUUUAAAUCCCUUAACGAGGAACAAUUGGAGGGCAAGUCUGGUGCCAGCAGCCGCGGUAAUUCCAGCUCCAAUAGCGUAUAUUAAAGUUGUUGCAGUUAAAAAGCUCGUAGUUGAACCUUGGGCCUGGCUGGCCGGUCCGCCUCACCGCGUGCACUGGUUCGGCCGGGCCUUUCCCUCUGGGGAACCGCAUGCCCUUCACUGGGUGUGUCGGGGAACCAGGACUUUUACUGUGAAAAAAUUAGAGUGUUCAAAGCAGGCCUAUGCUCGAAUACAUUAGCAUGGAAUAAUAGAAUAGGACGUGUGGUUCUAUUUUGUUGGUUUCUAGGACCGCCGUAAUGAUUAAUAGGGACAGUCGGGGGGCGUCAGUAUUCAAUUGUCAGAGGUGAAAUUCUUGGAUUUAUUGAAGACUAACUACUGCGAAAGCAUUCGCCAAGGAUGUUUUCAUUAAUCAGGAACGAAAGUUAGGGGAUCGAAGACGAUCAGAUACCGUCGUAGUCUUAACCAUAAACUAUGCCGACUAGGGAUCGGGCGAUGUUAUUAUUUGACUCGCUCGGCACCUUACGAGAAAUCAAAGUCUUUGG
rnacentral:rRNA from 1 species